rnacentral:rRNA from 1 species
UAGUAUUCAAUUGUCAGAGAUGAAAUUCUUGGAUUUAUUGAAGACUGACUUCUGCGAAAGCAUUUGCCAAGGAUGUUUUCAUUAAUCAAGAACGAAAGUUAGGGGAUCGAAGACGAUCAGAUACCGUCGUAGUCUUAACCAUAAACUAUGCCGACUAGGGAUCGGACGAUGUUAAUUUUUUAAUGACUCA